AUUGAACGCUGGCGGCAUGCCUUACACAUGCAAGUCGAACGGUAACGCGGGGCAACCUGGCGACGAGUGGCGAACGGGUGAGUAAUGCAUCGGAACGUGCCCAGUAGUUGGGGAUAGCCCGGCAAAAGCCGGAUUAAUACCGCAUACGACCUACGGGUGAAAGCGGGGGACCGUAAGGCCUCGCGCUAUUGGAGCGGCCGAUGUCAGAUUAGGUUGUUGGUGGGGUAAAAGCCUACCAAGCCGACGAUCUGUAGCUGGUCUGAGAGGACGACCAGCCACACUGGGACUGAGACACGGCCCAGACUCCUACGGGAGGCAGCAGUGGGGAAUUUUGGACAAUGGGGGCAACCCUGAUCCAGCCAUGCCGCGUGCGGGAAGAAGGCCUUCGGGUUGUAAACCGCUUUUGUCAGGGAAGAAACGCUCUGGGCUAAUACCCCGGGGUAAUGACGGUACCUGAAGAAUAAGCACCGGCUAACUACGUGCCAGCCGCCGCGGUAACAC
rnacentral:rRNA from 1 species